rnacentral:lncRNA from 10 species
CUGAUGGCCAUGCGGCCUUUGGAUGGGGGCUCAGGGUGGAGGAGGGCAGGUUGGUUGGGAUGGGUUCUACAUCCUUCUCUUGCCCCUGUUUACAGAAACCUCUGGAGGCAUGGACUCCCCCGUCACAGAGCCUGACUCCUCAGCUGGACCCACGCAGAGGCCGUCAGACAACAGUCACAAUAAGCAUGCACCUGCUUCCCAAGGUCUGAGUGCUGAGCAUCUUUAUAUUCUCAUCGGGGUCUCAGUGGUCUUCCUCUUUUGUCUCCUCCUUCUGGUCCUCUUUUUCCUCCAUCGCCAGAAUCAGAUGAAGCAGGGGCCCCCCAGAAGCAAGGACGAGGAGCAGAAGCUACAGCAGAGGUGAGGCCCCUGGGAAUGACUC